GGAGUCCAUCCAAUGUUGUUGGCUUCUAAUAUAGUAGACGGAUGCUUUUUAAUCAACUGUUUAAUGAAAUCUGAAAGAUUAACAUGGUCCUGGUGGAUGUCCCUUCUGAGCAAUUUUGUUACUCCAAAGCGAAUGAACCUGAUACAGUCCCUGACUGAAAGGUGGACAACAAAAAAGAGAGGAUUCCUGAACUGUGUGACAUCCAGGUUCAAUUUUUCACCAUUGAAAUAUGAGCGAAUGACUGCUGCAUGCAAGGCAUUCAUAUUGUUCCUUCCCUGGAAAGAGCAACCUGGGACAGUUUCUAAGAUGUAGC
rnacentral:misc_RNA from 1 species